rnacentral:misc_RNA from 1 species
AACAAGGCGUACCUGCGGACCUGCGGAAGGAUCAUUAACGAGCGUAACCUACCCUUUUAAAAAAUGGGUGGUACCUCCCGUCCUUUGCGGGCCCCCUUCUUUUAUUAAGGGGGGGGCUUUUAAGACUUUCUGCUUCGGCGGGGUUAUUCCCGCCGGAACACCUUCAAAAAACUCUUGAUCAAAAAACUGUUCAGUCCGAGAAUUUUUGAAAAUUAAAACAAAACUUUCAACAACGGAUCU